rnacentral:rRNA from 1 species
GAUGAACGCUGGCGGCGUGCCUAAUACAUGCAAGUCGAGCGAACACACAGUGAGCUCGUGCCCCUGCGGGUAGCGGCGGACGGGUGGGUAACGCGUACAUAACCUACCUCUAAGUCGUGGAUAACAACGGGAAACAGGUGCUAAUAAUACAUAAUAUAAUGAACCGCUGGGUGCAUUAGUUAAUGGCGCCUUUGGCGUUUCUUUUAGCUGGUUCCGCGCCGCAUUAGCUAGUUGGUAAGGUAACGGCUUACCAAGGCAACGAUGCGUAGCCGACCUGAGAGGGUGAUCAGCCACACUGGAACUGAGACACGGUCCAGACUCCUACGGGAGGCAGCAGUAGGGAAUAUUGCGCAAUGGGCGCAAGCCUGACGCAGCAACACCGCGUGAGUGAUGAAGGUCUUCGGAUUGUAAAGCUCUGUUGUUGGGAAAGAACAACUGUAUAUGUAUCUAUGGACGUCCUGACGGUACCUAAAGAAUAAGCACCGGCUAACUACGUG